GACGAACGCUGGCGGCGUGCCUAAUACAUGCAAGUUGAGCGAUGAAGAUUGGUGCUUGCACCAAUUUGAAGAGCAGCGAACGGGUGAGUAACGCGUGGGGAAUCUGCCUUUGAGCGGGGGACAACAUUUGGAAACGAAUGCUAAUACCGCAUAACAACUUUAAACAUAAGUUUUAAGUUUGAAAGAUGCAAUUGCAUCACUCAAAGAUGAUCCCGCGUUGUAUUAGCUAGUUGGUGAGGUAAAGGCUCACCAAGGCGAUGAUACAUAGCCGACCUGAGAGGGGUAAUGGCCACCUUGGGAACUAAAAACGGCCCCAACUUCUAAGGGAGGCAGCAGUAGGGAAUCUUCGGCAAUGGACGAAAGUCUGACCGAGCAACGCCGCGGGAGUGAAGAAGGUUUUCGGAUCGUAAAACUCUGUUGGUAGAGAAGAACGUUGGUGAGAGUGGAAAGCUCAUCAAGUGACGGUAACUACCCAGAAAGGGACGGCUAACUACGUG
rnacentral:rRNA from 1 species